UCGGGUAAGUUCCGACCUGCACGAAUGGCGUAACGACUUCCCCACUGUCUCCAACAGAGACUCAGCGAAAUUGAAUUCUCCGUGAAGAUGCGGAGUACCCGCGGUCAGACGGAAAGACCCCGUGCACCUUUACUACAGCUUCACACUGGUAUUCGUAAUGACAUGUGUAGGAUAGGUGGUAGACGUUGAAGCAUUUGCGCCAGCAGAUGUGGAGUCAUCCUUGAAAUACCACCCUUGUCCUUAUGGAUAUCUAACCGCGGCGCAACAACGUCCGGGACCGUGUGUGGCGGGUAGUUUGACUGGGGCGGUCGCCUCCUAAAGAGUAACGGAGGCUCGCAAAGGUACCCUCAGCAUGGUUGGUAAUCAUGCGAAGAGCGUAUGAGUAUAAGGGUGCUUGACUGGGAGAUCGACAGAUCGAUCAGGUGCGAAAGCAGGCUUAAGUGAUCCGGUGGUUCCGCAUGGAAGGGCCAUCGCUCAAAGGAUAAAAGGUACUCCGGGGAUAACAGGCUGAUCUCCCCCAAGAGCUCAUAUCGACGGGGAGGUUUGGCACCUCGAUGUCGGCUCGUCACAUCCUGGGGCUGGAGAAGGUCCCAAGGGUUGGGCUGUUCGCCCAUUAAAGUGGCACGCGAGCUGGGUUCAGAACGUCGCAAGACAGUUCGGUCUCUAUCUGUUGUGGGCGUAGGAAUAUUGAAGAGAUCUGUCUCCAGUACGAGAGGACCGGGAUGGACGCACCUCUAGUGUACCUGUUGUGGCGCCAGCUGCAUUGCAGGGUAGCUAUGUGCGGAAUGGAUAAGCGCUGAAAGCAUCUAAGCACGAAGCCAACUCUAAGAUGAGUAUUCCAUGAGGGUCGUAGAAGAUGACUACGUUGAUAGGCUAUAGGUGGAAGUGCAGUAAUGUAUGGAGCCGAGUAGUACUAAUUACCCGA
rnacentral:rRNA from 1 species